rnacentral:rRNA from 1 species
AUGGACCAUUCCAUCCCUUAUUCCCGUGGCUAUGCAUCGGAUUCAGAUGACGAAGGUCCCGAUGAACAAGUUGAUGAGGAGGGGUUCACGGUGAAGGAGGCCAAAGCUUUCGAGAAGGUAUUCGGUCGGGAUCAUCGGACUACAUUGUUCAAGGAUGUUAGUCUCACGGAUGAAGCCGUGGUAGAUGGUGGCCAAGGUAUAUCUCUUGGGUUUAGGCCAAGAUUUCACUGUGAUUUGGAUGACGACAAGAAUGGGAUUGCUAAAGGGUCUAAGUUCAAAACCUUCUUGGAAUUAAAGAUGUGGCUCGAUAACUACUCGGUUACGCAUUAUCGUCCACACAAGGUGGUGAACUCGGACGUCAACGUGUGCUACACGGUUGCAUGUGCAUGUGAAGAUGAAAAUGUCCGUGGAUUAUGCAUGCAAGACCAUGGAAAGGAGGUCCCACUUGGCACGUAG